UGGUAACAGUUUUGAAUACCAUCGCACUUUUUUGACGAUACUAAUUAUUUAGGAGUCUCGGAGGACCUUCAUUGGAACACCUCCAAACGCGUUUCCGGAGCAAAACUCACUUGGAGGUGUUCCAAUGAAGGUCCCCCGGACACUCCUAGAUAAUUAGUAUCGUCAAAAAAGUGCGGUGGUAUUUAACACCCAACCC